UGUCGGAAGGAUUCUGACACGGAACAGGAAAGCACCAAGGAUUUGGUUAUCUUCAGGAUGAAGAUUUGGUUACUUAGGAUUGAGUGAUCAAGCAUGGAGCGUAAGGACAUUGUAGGGAUACAGCCAGUUAACAGGAAGUUAGCUGCAACGGAAUGACAAUGGACACCUUUAGGAUUAAAGGGUUGGAUUAGCAUCAGGACGAUGUAAAGGACACCGCUCACGGAACAAGUGAUGUGCGCUAACUAGGAUUGUUAGCUUUCAGGAUGAUUGGACACCGCUAGGACGGCGAAGUAAAGGAAAGAGCUGAAGGAUUACAGCCACUAUUAUGGAUGAUGCAUGGAGCAUUAAUUAGUAGCCGGACUGCUGCGAGUAAGACCCUAGCCCUGACACUUCGGUGUCGGGGCUUUUCUUUUUC
rnacentral:other from 1 species